rnacentral:rRNA from 1 species
UACGUAGGGGGCUAGCGUUGUCCGGAUUUAUUGGGCGUAAAGAGCGUGUAGGCGGCCUGGUAGGUCUGCUGUGAAAACUCGAGGCUCAACCUCGAGAUGUCGGCGGAAACCAUCUGGCUAGAGUCCGGAAGAGGAGAGUGGAAUUCCUGGUGUAGCGGUGAAAUGCGCAGAUAUCAGGAGGAACACCGAUUGCGAAGGCAGCUCGCUGGGACGUUACUGACGCUGAGACGCGAAAGCGUGGGGAGCAAACAGG